UACGUAGGGUGCGAGCGUUGUCCGGAAUUACUGGGCGUAAAGAGCUCGUAGGUGGCUUGUCGCGUUGUUCGUGAAAUCUCACGGCUUAACUGUGAGCGUGCGGGCGAUACGGGCAGACUAGAGUACUGCAGGGGAGACUGGAAUUCCUGGUGUAGCGGUGGAAUGCGCAGAUAUCAGGAGGAACACCGGUGGCGAAGGCGGGUCUCUGGGCAGUAACUGACGCUGAGGAGCGAAAGCGUGGGGAGCGAACAGG
rnacentral:rRNA from 1 species